CGGGGUGCACCAGGCGCGAAAACUUUACAAUGCUGGCAACAGCGAUAAGGGGACCUCGAGUGCCAGGAUACUGGCGGUCGUGAUGCCUAAAAAGCAUUGCAUAGCAAGGGCCGGGCAAGACCGGUGCCAGCCGCCGCGGUAACACCGGCGGCUCGAGUGGUAACCGUUAUUAUUGGGUCUAAAGGGUCUGUAGCCGGCCGGAUAAGUCUCUUGGGAAAUCCAGCAGCUCAACUGUUGGGCUUUCAGGAGAUACUGUCUGGCUCGAGGCCGGGAGAGGUGAGAGGUACUUCAGGGGUAGGGGUGAAAUCUUGUAAUCCUUGAAGGACCACCAGUGGCGAAGGCGUCUCACCAGAACGGACCUGACGGCAAGGGACGAAAGCUAGGGGCACGAACCGGAUUAGAUACCCGGGUAGUCCUAGCCGUAAACGAUACUCGCUAGGUGUCGGCCACGGUGCGACCGUUGUCGGUGCCGUAGGGAAGCCGUGAAGCGAGCCACCUGGGAAGUACGGCCGCAAGGCUGAAACUUAAAGGAAUUGGCGGGGGAGCACAAGGGCGAUUCGC
rnacentral:rRNA from 1 species